UUUCUGCCGGGCAUGCGUGGCAACACCGCUCAUCACCUGUUCGCGACGGAGCAUAACAAAUGGCGAGCUCGCCGGUCGGGUGUUUAUGUUUGUCGUGAAUUCUGUUGAUUUUCUGCUAAUUUAUCUUGGAAAAGCGUAUCGGCCUUCGUCCUUAAACCUUUAUUAGGUGCCAAAGUAUCGUUCGGACGACACACGCAGCUGUUCAACGUUCAACAUCCACGCAAGAACAGCUGGGCAGCUCAUUGGAACAUUAAAAGCGUACGUUUCACCCAAGAGCUUGAUGAUGGGAUAUGGAUUGAAGAGGAACAUAUUAAAUCACUGCAGUCCUUUGGAUCACAGAGAUCGAGGCCUUUCGUGCAAGCAGAGGUACUUCAACUUGCUGGGCUACUUCUACUGAAAGAUCUUUUUCUCGACGCUAAACAUCGGGUUCAACCGCGUGAGCAAGAAAGACCCAGUGGCCCAUGGCCUUGACAUCUCUGUGCACUGGCUGGGCCUGGAUGUGUGUCUUCUGGUCGCAGCCUUCGCACUGGUUGGAUGCAUUGUGGCCACCUUGAUCCGCGGGCUGCUGUUGACGCUGACCGUUCUUCUACGCCUUCUCGAGCAGCAAGGUGUUCUCGAUAGAGCUGCAGAGCCUGCCGGGCCAGCUGUAUCAGGCCUUGAUCACCUACAUCCCAAACGGCGCCGAGAUCAUCGCCCUGGACGCGUUCGAUGCGCAGGCUGACGACCUGGUGGAUGGCAUCACGAGCGUCAAGCCAGCGUUGGCCGGCCAAGUUCCGCCUAGCAAGAGCUGUCUCUUUUCUGCUCCAAUUGGGCGAGGCGGGCGAAUCUCUGCUCAACAGCGUCGCCCAGAACUGCUUCUCGCUCGAGCUGUUGUUCGCACCGUACCAACUGUACCAAACACCGCUACCAGCCAGCCGCGAGAUUGUGUGGCUGCUCUCUGGUGAUGACGAGCAGAGGACAGGCUCUACCUCUGCCACCAGGAGGAACCGCUGCAGCCGACAUUUCCAGAGCUGCACGAGCUUUCUUGCGGUGACAUGCUCUGGAUUGACGUCGUCUACUCGCUUGAGCAGCACAGACGCAUCACAGAGCUCGCCUGCCAUUACUGAGCUCCUCGCCCUCUCCCUUGAAGUGGUCCACAUCAUGCAGCACAGUGUGGACCAGACUGUGCAGUUACUUAUUAGCAAUAGUUUGACUGAAUAUUGAUAAAAUAAAAUAUAAAUGUGAAAAUAGUGUCGACCAGAUAAUCAAUACUCAGCUGUUUUUAAAAUUUUCUGAUAGUGCUUGAGUGUUUGGAAAAGGGUAAGGACUUUGUCUAUUUUGAAUUGCAGGAAAAUUUAGUUUUAAACUUAUUCUGGCAUUUAGAAUUUAACAAAAAAAAAACUGGAUCAUACAAUAUUAUGUCUUCAGUGUUUAAACCAUCUUACUACUGAUUGUGAGGUACUGAGGAAGCGCAAAAGAAGCGUUGACGAUUUUAAAUGGUGUACUAGCGAUUCAAAUCUGUUAAUAAGGUAGAUCCCAACAUCUUUUGUUUACCUUUAUAUUUCUUUUCAUGCACGAAAUAAAUUAUUUCACAAAUAUAUAUAGCAAUUUUAUAAAAAUUAAUAUGGCUGCUCCUUCUUUUUUAAUCAUGCUCCUCUGCAUUUUCCUCUGUAGACCGAAUGCCAAGAAGACAAGAAAUGGAAACAGUAAUUCCUGCUUUUCCCUGGAAAUCUUAUAAAUAUGAUAAAUAUUAACUGAUAUCCCUGUGGUAGCAAUUAUUGUUACUAUAUAUUUAUAAAGUACAAGGACCAUAUUGUAAUUAAUGGAAUUUAAAUAAAAUUAAAAAAACCAUAAAAAUAAAAUCAGAAAAAGCAGGAAUAUAAGCUGACCGAGCAGACAGGCCAACAUAUUCGAACAGGAACAGGACAGGAAAUUUGUUUCAGGAAAAAAGGACAGGAAAAAAACAGAAAAACCUUGAAUAUGCGCUUUAUUCCUCAGCCACCACCUCGUCACUUUAUUCCGCAUCAUCCUCGGUUUUGUUUUCACAAGACGAGAAAUAUCUUUUACCAAUUAUAACAAGAAAAAAUAAAAAAUAAAAAAAUAUCUGAUCAGCUUCUAUCAUUGUUUAUGGGAUUGUGGGCGAGGUGAUUGCGAUCAGCCGUUCGGCGUGGAGGGGAGCGGUGUUGCCAAUGAACCGGCUCGACCGGCUGAAGACGUUGCGCGGCAAAUUGAAAACACCGCUCUAAAUGGCUUAAAUUAACUUCUCCUAAUUAACUAAUUAGUAAGUUUUAUGACUGAAAUGCGUGACAAGACCAAUAAAUAUUAAGUUAUCUUGCAUUUGGCUUCAUAUCAUGACAUUUCUGAGUGAUUUUUAUGAGGUGGAAUGAGAUCGAAGGGGAUCGUUCUCUGGGGAUCCCCCUCGCUCAUUCUAAGUCGAUUUAUUUCCCAAAUUUGGAUGAAAAAGUGGGGUGUGGGUUCUAAAAUCAUCAUUUUAUGAACAAUUAGACCGACAUGUGUGUGUUACAUCGCAUCAAUGGGCAAAUUUCACUUGUUUAAGGAGUUCGCCAAUUCUCGGGGGAAUCCCCUCGCCCGUUCUAGGAGGAUCCCCCGGGAAUCCACGGAG